AGUGAACGCUGGCGGUAGGCCUAACACAUGCAAGUCGAACGGCAGCACAGUAAGAGCUUGCUCUUACGGGUGGCGAGUGGCGGACGGGUGAGGAAUACAUCGGAAUCUACUUUUUCGUGGGGGAUAACGUAGGGAAACUUACGCUAAUACCGCAUACGACCUACGGGUGAAAGCAGGGGAUCUUCGGACCUUGCGCGAUUGAAUGAGCCGAUGUCGGAUUAGCUAGUUGGCGGGGUAAAGGCCCACCAAGGCGACGAUCCGUAGCUGGUCUGAGAGGAUGAUCAGCCACACUGGAACUGAGACACGGUCCAGACUCCUACAGGAGGAAGCAGUGGGGAAUAUUGGACAAUGGGCGCAAGCCUGAUCCAGCCAUACCGCGUGGGUGAAGAAGGCCUUCGGGUUGUAAAGCCCUUUUGUUGGGAAAGAAAAGCAGCAGGUUAAUACCCCGCUGUUCUGACGGUACCCAAAGAAUAAGCACCGGCUAACUUCGUG
rnacentral:rRNA from 1 species